GAGAGGAUGAAUUAUCGUUUGGUUAUGGUUAUUCUUGCUGCGGAGGCGGUGGCGGAAAAAACCCAAAAAAAAUUGAAUGACAUUAUCGGAAGAAAUGGAAGGUUGUGUUACAGAUGGUGGUUGUGAAAGGAAAGAAAAACAUUGAGAGAGAGAAAGAAAAAGAAAAUAUCUAAACAAUUGAAUAAAAUAAUCAUUUAGUUCAGAGGUUUCGAAUUUCUUAAUAAACCUAACAAGAAAGAAAAAUGCCUAAUUAUCUUAAUUAGGGAUUUGGCUUUGUUGAUAUAUAUAAUCAAAAGAAACUUUUUCUGACCAUGGACACUAUGUUCUGAUCAUGGGCACUCUUCCAUGAUUUCAUAUUUCACAAAAGAAGUUGCUUGGGUUUGCUUUGUUGGUCAUGUCACUUUCGUCAAAAUAAAUGUAUAAGGAUAAACGGUGUGAGAGGAUGCAUUAUCGUUUGGUUAUGGUUAUUCUUGCUGCGGAGGCGGUGGCGGAAAAAACCCAAAAAAAAUUGAAUGACAUUAUCGGAAGAAAUGGAAGGUUGUGUUACAGAUGGUGGUUGUGAAAGGAAAGAAAAACAUUGAGAGAGAGAAAGAAAAAGAAAAUAUCUAAACAAUUGAAUAAAAUAAUCAUUUAGUUCAGAGGUUUCGAAUUUCUUAAUAAACCUAACAAGAAAGAAA
rnacentral:lncRNA from 1 species